rnacentral:rRNA from 1 species
CCUACGGGUGGCAGCAGUGGGGAAUAUUGCGCAAUGGGCGAAAGCCUGACGCAGCGACGCCGCGUGAGGGAUGAAGGUCUUCGGAUCGUAAACCUCUGUCAGCAGGGAAGAACGGUCACUGUGCUAAUCAGCAGUGAAUUGACGGUACCUGCAAAGGACGCACCGGCUAACUCCGUUCCCGCAGCUGCGGUAAUCCGGAGGGUGCGAGCGUUAAUCGGAAUUACUGGGCGUAAAGCGCUCGUAGGCGGUAUGUCAAGUCAAGGGUGAAAUGCCCGCGCUCAACGUGGGAACUGCCUUUGAAACUGGCAAACUGGAGUGUGGGAGAGGAUAGUGGAAUUCCAGGUGUAGGAGUGAAAUCCGUAGAGAUCAGGAGGAACAUCAGUGGCGAAGGCGACUAUCUGGCACAUAACUGACGCUGAGGAGCGAAAGCGUGGGUAGCAAACAGGAUUAGAUACCCGUGUAGUC